AUUGAACGCUGGCGGCAUGCCUUACACAUGCAAGUCGGACGGUAACAGGUCUUCGGAUGCUGACGAUUGGCGAACGGGUGAGUAAUACAUCGGAACGUGCCCGAUCGUGGGGGAUAAUGAAGCGAAAGCUUUGCUAAUACCGCAUACGAUCUACGGAUGAAAGCAGGGGACCGCAAAGCCUUGCGCGACUGGAACGGCCGAUGGCAGAUUAGGUAGUUGGUGGGAUAAAAGCUUACCAAGCCGACGAUCUGUAGCUGGUCUGAGAGGACGACCAGCCACACUGGGACUGAGACACGGCCAAGACUCCUACGGGAGGCAGCAGUGGGGAAUUUUGGACAAUGGGCGAAAGCCUGAUCCAGCCAUGCCGCGUGCAGGAUGAAGGCCUUCGGGUUGUAAACUGCUUUUGUACGGAACGAAAAGACUCUGGUUAAUACCUGGGGUCCAUGACGGUACCGUAAGAAUAAGCACCGGCUAACUACGUGCCAGCAGCCGCAGUAAGAC
rnacentral:rRNA from 1 species